AUCGCUUCUCGGCCUUUUGGCUCAGAUCAAGUAGUAGUAUCUGUUCUUAUCAGUUAAUAUCUGAUACGUCCCCCAUAGGGGGACUACAUAUUAAAUGGAUUUUUCGAACAGGGAGUCGGAAAUGGGGCUUGCUCCGUCCGCUCCACGCAUCGACCCGGUAUUGCAGUACCUCCGGAACGCUUGUUUUGCAACACUU
rnacentral:snRNA from 1 species